AUUGAACGCUGGCGGCAGGCCUAACACAUGCAAGUCGAGCGGAUGAGGGGAGCUUGCUCCUGGAUUCAGCGGCGGACGGGUGAGUAAUGCCUAGGAAUCUGCCUGGUAGUGGGGGAUAACGUCCGGAAACGGGCGCUAAUACCGCAUACGACCUGAGGGAGAAAGUGGGGGAUCUUCGGACAUCACGCUAUCAGAUGAGCCUAGGUCGGAUUAGCUAGUUGGUGGGGUAAAGGCCUACCAAGGCGACGAUCCGUAACUGGUCUGAGAGGAUGAUCAGUCACACUGGAACUGAGACACGGUCCAGACUCCUACGGGAGGCAGCAGUGGGGAAUAUUGGACAAUGGGCGAAAGCCUGAUCCAGCCAUGCCGCGUGUGUGAAGAAGGUCUUCGGAUUGUAAAGCACUUUAAGUUGGGAGGAAGGGCAGUAAGUUAAUACCUUGCUGUUUUGACGUUACCAACAGAAUAAGCACCGGCUAACUUCGUG
rnacentral:rRNA from 1 species